rnacentral:rRNA from 1 species
GAUGAACGCUGGCGGCGUGCUUAACACAUGCAAGUCGAACGAAGCAUUUGCGACAGAUUUUUUCGGAAUGAAGUUGCUUAUGACUGAGUGGCGGACGGGUGAGUAACGCGUGGGUAACCUGCCUUGUACUGGGGGAUAGCAGCUGGAAACGGCUGGUAAUACCGCAUAAGCGCACAAUGUUGCAUGACAUGGUGUGAAAAACUCCGGUGGUAUAAGAUGGACCCGCGUCUGAUUAGCUAGUUGGUGAGAUAGCAGCCCACCAAGGCGACGAUCAGUAGCCGACCUGAGAGGGUGACCGGCCACAUUGGGACUGAGACACGGCCCAGACUCCUACGGGAGGCAGCAGUGGGGAAUAUUGCACAAUGGAGGAAACUCUGAUGCAGCGACGCCGCGUGAGUGAAGAAGUAAUUCGUUAUGUAAAGCUCUAUCAGCAGGGAAGAUAGUGACGGUACCUGACUAAGAAGCUCCGGCUAAAUACGU